UACGUAGGUGACAAGCGUUGUCCGGAUUUACUGGGCGUAAAGUGUGCGCAGGUGGCCGCGCAUGUCGAGUGUGAAAUCCCCGAGCUUAACUUGGGAAUUGCGCUUGAAACUACGUGGCUAGAGUGUGGCAGAGGGAGGUGGAAUUCCACGUGUAGCGGUGAAAUGCGUAGAGAUGUGGAGGAACACCAAUGGCGAAGGCAGCCUCCUGGGCCGGUAUUGACGCUGAGGCGCGAAAGCUAGGGGAGCAAACGGG
rnacentral:rRNA from 1 species